UAUCUCUGUAGAGUCUGCAUAUCAAUAAGCGGAGGAAAAGAAACUAACUAAGGAUUCCCUCAGUAACGGCGAGUGAAGCGGGAAGAGCUCAAAUUUGAAAUCUUCAAGGUUCUACCUUGACGAAUUGUAGUUUAAAGAAGUGUUUUCUGUUGGAGUUUUGGUAAAAGUUCUUUGGAAUAGGACAUCAUAGAGGGUGAGAAUCCCGUAUUUGACCAUUAUUUCCAACUUUGUGAUACACUUUCAAAGAGUCGGAUUGUUUGGGAAUGCAGUCCAAAAUGGGUGGUAAAUUUCAUCUAAAGCUAAAUACUGGCGAGAGACCGAUAGCGAACAAGUACCGUGAGGGAAAGAUGAAAAGAACUUUGAAAAGAGAGUUAAACAGUACGUGAAAUUGUCAAAAGGGAAGCGUUUGACACCAGUGUUGUUUUCUCGAAAAUCAAUUAAAAAUGGCGGGAUUUUGUGUUGUAUUGACUUUAUCAGCUUUCUGCACUUUUUUCCUGUCUUUUUUAAUGCACUUUUCGUUUAACAAGUCAACAUCAAUUUCUUUUGUUGUAAAAGGGUCAUUGGAAGGUGGCUUUCUUUUCGGAGAAAGUGUUUAUAGCCUUUGACUUCUGCAAUCGGAGAGAUUGAGGUCUGCAGCGUAGAUCCUUCGGGGUUAGAUGCAUUUGUGCUAAGUUAUAGCCUUUCAUAGACAACUUGUUGACUAUGAUCAGUCAUGUAGCUUACUCGCUUAUGUCAUUUUACCUACGCUUAGGAUGUUGAGUAGCGACAUACGCAC
rnacentral:rRNA from 1 species